rnacentral:ncRNA from 1 species
GCUCGCGCUGUCUACGCUACCGUUCGCCGGCUGGCCCUUGCCAUCCGCACCGGCACGGGAUGGCACAGACGAGAGGA